UACAGAGGUGGCAAGCGUUGUUCGGAAUUACUGGGCGUAAAGGGCGCGUAGGCGGCCUUCUAAGUCAGACGUGAAAUCCCCAGGCUUAACUUGGGAACUGCGUCUGAUACUGGGAGGCUUGAGUGCGGGAGAGGGAUGUGGAAUUCCCGGUGUAGCGGUGAAAUGCGCAGAUAUCGGGAGGAACACCGGUGGCGAAGGCGGUUCUCUGGGCCUUACCUGACGCUGAGGAGCGAAAGCGUGGGGAGCGAACAGG
rnacentral:rRNA from 1 species